GCUUGGGUUGGAAACCGGGGCUUCUGCCUUGGAUUGUGGCCUUUAGACAUACUACCAACGGCGGCGCGAGCGUAAGCCUCUUGGAACAGAGCGUCUACGUGGGUGAGAAUCCUGUGUUUCGCUUGAUGCCCGCCGUGCACGGUACUUGCUCUCAGAGUCACGCUCCUCGGAAUUGGAGCGUAAAUUGGGUGGUAAAUUUCAUCUAAAGCUAAAUACAGGCUCGAGACCGAUAGCAAACAAGUACCAUGAGGGAAAGAUGAAAAGGACUUUGAAAAGAGAGUUAAAAGUGCUUGAAAUCGCUGAACUGGAAGCGAAUGGAACUAGUGCUCUGGUUGAGAUUGCUGUAAAUGGCUGUGACAUCUGGGCUCUGGAACGCAAGUCCUUUGUCUGGCUUGAAGUAGUCGCUUGCAAUGUGUCUCAGCUUGAACAUCAACUUCUAUGCAUACGUGAGGAUGGCCCUUGGCUCAUGCUGUGUUGCUGUGGCGAUACUCUUGUGCUUCUGGGGAUUCAGGUGUGUGUGGAUUGUUGAUCAAUUAGUUCCAUUCGACCCGUCUUGAAACACGGACCAAGGAGUCUAGCACUUGUGCAAGUUCUCAGGUGUCAAACCUCUGUGCGCAAUGAAGGUGACUGCUGGGAUUUUUUGCACCAGCAACCGACCAAUCAAUUGGGAGAAGUUUGAGUAAGAGCAUGUGUGUUAGGACCCGAAAGAUGGUGAACUAU
rnacentral:rRNA from 1 species